rnacentral:lncRNA from 1 species
CGGGGAAGCCGUUUUACACCCAGCGGAGUCCCGGGCUAGGUGAGGGUCAUGGCCUUUCUCAGUUCUCAGAGGACCAGGCCGGCAGGGACUUUGUUCCGGGGCUAAGGCCAGCCGCGCGGGACGGCGGGGCAGCGGGGGCGGGGAGGAGGAAGGCAGGGCGGCCUCUCGGUGCCUCGGGCGAGGCCUGGGCCGGCGCGGUCGAGUCGGGCAGUUAGUUUCCUGCAGUCGCGGGGCGUGACCUCCCGCUCUCCUGCCCCUGACCUGCCCUCUUGUGAAUCACGGCCCGGGAAUGGUACUAGAGGAAGGGCCUGGAAGCAGAACCGGAGUUAAUGACCGGGCGUGACACCGGUGUAAGAGUCGGAAAUGAACCACCAAGGACGUUUCGGCAUUUAAGAACACACACGUCUAUCUCGUGACCAGUGUCACAGAGAAGCCUGUUUUUCUGCAGUGCUCUCUCAGUGCGAUUAGAGGAGUCAUGGAUCGUCACAUUCCCAUGCACGCCUUACCCAAAGAAAUCCAACAGAUGUCUCCUGAAGAAACAGUUUGUAAAUACUGUGGCGUCAGCUACCUAAUUCUACAUGAAUUUAAGGCUAUGGAAGAAAAACUGAAAGCGGUGCAAGAAGAAUUGAAAUUUUAUCAAGGAAGUAUAGAACGAGAAAAGAGACUUCAAGAAAAGCUGCAGUCUCUUAGCCAGGAGUUUGAAAAGUAUAAAACUGACAGCGAAUCCAAGAAGGAAAGAGUUCAACAUGCAAGCAUGCAGUUAAAAAAGCAACAAAAUGAAUUUCAGAGAGUACAGAAAGAAUUAAGUCAUCUACAACUUGAGUUAAAAAUUAAACAAAAACAAUCUCAAGUCUUCAGUCAAAGAUUGUCAGAAUACAAAUACUUCUGGAAUAAGACUCUUUUAUUACUUACUUUUACUAAAAGGGAACUAACAAGUAUUAAAUAUGAAAUAAAUGAUAAUUUUCAAAACUGGACUUCACUGAAAGGAGAAGUGUUUCUACAAAUUAAAUCUAUAAGUGAUACAGCCUUGGCAGAGAUAGAUAUGUUAAAUAAGAGUCUGACAGUGUCUCAGAGAAAUAAGGUAAGCCUGGAAGAGGAAAUGAAAUGUCUCAAAGUGUUGUCGGAUGCAGCCAUAUUGAGGUCUCAGCAGAUGGAGGCGUCCAAGCAGCAUGAAGUGAACCUGCAAGCCAGGUGCUACGAGCUGCAGAAGGAGGCACUGGAUUUACAGUGUCAAGUAGAGGCCCUUGGGCUGAGACUUCAGAAGACAGUGAAGGAGCUGGACAACUGUAAAGAGAUGCUCAUGUAAGGUGUAACACUAAACAGCUGUGAGAGUGGCUUGCCCAUUGAUGUGUCACAAAACUAAGACUUUGGAAAGACGCCAGGGUGUCAUCUUCAGGCAGUGGUUCAGUUGUAGGUGAUGGUCUGCUGUGGCUUCUUGUGGUUCUGUUGUAGCCUGAAAUGAGUAUUGGUGGACCUGUCACCCUUUUAACUCAGUAAAGUGUUUCUGUCCCCCGGGAAA